rnacentral:rRNA from 1 species
UACAGAGGGGGCAAGCGUUGUUCGGAAUUACUGGGCGUAAAGGGCGCGUAGGCGGCCGCCUAAGUCAGACGUGAAAUCCCUCGGCUCAACCGGGGAACUGCGUCUGAUACUGGGUGGCUUGAAUCCGGGAGAGGGAUGCGGAAUUCCAGGUGUAGCGGUGAAAUGCGUAGAUAUCGGGAGGAACACCCGUAGCGAAGGCGGCACUCUGGGCCGGAACUGACGCUGAGGAGCGAAAGCGUGGGGAGCAAACAGG